GCUUGUCUCAAAGAUUAAGCCAUGCAUGUCUAAGUAUAACUCUUUUACUUUGAAAACUGCGAACGGCUCAUUAUAUCAGUUAUAGUUUCUUUGAUAGUCCCUUACUACUUGGAUACCCGUAGUAAUUCUAGAGCUAAUACAUGCAUCAAUACCCAACUGUUCGCGGAAGGGUAGUAUUUAUUAGGUAUAGACCAACCCUCUUCGGAGGUGCUUUGGUGAUUCAUAAUAACUUUUCGAAUCGCAUGGCUCCAUGCCGGCGAUGGAUCAUUCAAGUUUCUGCCCUAUCAACUUUCGAUGGUACGGUAUUGGCCUACCAUGGUGACCACGGGUAACGGGGGAUUAGGGUUCGAUUCCGGAGAGGGAGCCUGAGAAAUGGCUACCACUUCUAAGGAAGGCAGCAGG
rnacentral:rRNA from 1 species